rnacentral:rRNA from 1 species
UACGGAGGGGGCUAGCGUUGUUCGGAAUUACUGGGCGUAAAGCGCACGUAGGCGGCUUUGUAAGUUAGAGGUGAAAGCCCGGGGCUCAACUCCGGAAUUGCCUUUGAGACUGCAUCGCUAGAAUUGUGGAGAGGUAAGUGGAAUUCCGAGUGUAGAGGUGAAAUUCGUAGAUAUUCGGAAGAACACCCGUGGCUAAGGCGGCUCUCUAGUACGGUACUGACGCUGAGACGCGAAAGCGUGGGGAGCGAACAGG